GCCUGGGUGGCUCAGUCGGUUGAGCGUCUGACUUCGGCUCAGGCUUUGUGGGUUCAAGCCCCGCCUCAGGCU